GUUCAUGUGUAGUUACACCUUGUGGUUUUACACACAGAGGUGUGUUAGUCAUCAUUGUGGUUACUUUUAAGUGAUGUUGCUACAAUUCUGAAUCAAGUUCGAUUCAAUCAUCUCCAAACUGGACAUUCAGCCUCGUCUGUACGUCGUGUUUGGUGCUAAAUGCUAGCUAGUAAUGCAUGCUAGGAUGGUGAUUUAAGAUGGAGAACAUGGAACACUGAACAUGCUACACAUCAGCAUGUUAGCAUGACGUUUCGAUUAAUCGCACAAAAACAAAAGCGUUUACCGCAGAUGACACUUGGGACGAAAUAAUGGGUCCUGACAAUUAAGAAUUCAACGUUCCCAUAUGAAAGUGUGGUGCUGUGAUAUUAAUACACCGACG
ensembl:lncRNA